rnacentral:rRNA from 1 species
GACGAACGCUGGCGGCGUGCCUAAUACAUGCAAGUAGAACGCUGAAGAGAGGAGCUUGCUCUUCUUGGAUGAGUUGCGAACGGGUGAGUAACGCGUAGGUAACCUGCCUUGUAGCGGGGGAUAACUAUUGGAAACGAUAGCUAAUACCGCAUAACAAUGGAUGACACAGGUCAUUUAUUUGAAAGGGGCAAUUGCUCCACUACAAGAUGGACCUGCGUUGUAUUAGCUAGUAGGUGAGGUAAUGGCUCACCUAGGCGACGAUGCAUAGCCGACCUGAGAGGGUGAUCGGCCACCCUGGGACUGUGGCACGGCCCAGUCUCCUACGGGAGGCAGCAGUAGGGAAUCUUCGGCAAUGGGGGCAACCCUGACCGCGCAACGCCGCGUGAGUGAAGAAGGUCUUCGGAUCGUAAAGCCCUGUUGUAAGUCAAGAACGGGUGUGAGAGUGGAAAGUUCACACUGUGACGGUAGCUUACCAGAAAGGGACGGCUAACUACGUG